GCGAUACCUCAGUCAGUAGAGCACGAGACUCUUAAUGUCAGGGUCGUGGGUUCAAGCCCUACAGUAGGCA